rnacentral:lncRNA from 1 species
ACAGAUCUCGAGUUUAAAUUGAUAAUAGCUGAAGACACGAAAUAGUAAAGGUUCAUAGAUCAAUGUCAAGGCAGAAACGAGCACUAUAGCGGGCUUCCAAGCUAGCAAGCUUUAUCUGGAAAUCUCACUCCAGCUCGAACCUACGCUGCGCGCGCUGGGGAUCCAAUCCUUCCCUUGGCGCGGCGCUCGAACCCACGAGCUUUAACAACGAGCUUUAACAAUGGGCACCGCUUCAUCAACUCUUC